GGACGGUGCCAGAUUGUCGUACUGAACCUCAUAUAUUUAACAACUUCCGACCCAAAAACCGUCUCCUGGGACCCACUAACUAGAGUCAUUCAUAUUUGUCGUUAAAAUAGUUAAUUUACUGAUGUCUCUUGGCAAUAGCUAUGCGUCAAAAACCGGUUAAUACUAUGAUGCCCUGAGUACGAUAACCUGUGGUGGAGGCCUCCCAGCUGACAAGACCGGCGGCCUAACACACACUUCUCCUCCCUCCAGUGUUGGUUGUGAGGGAUUUCAACUCACACCACCACCUGCCGCCACACCACAGACACACCCCAGCCGCUGUACCUGUCCACAGCUGGUAGCCUGAGAGUGACUUAUCCGGGAACUUGUCACGGUGAUUUCCGCGCCCCAGCAUGAACACAGAAGGAUGGCAUUUGGGCAAAAAGUCUGUCUUUCAGUAUUAACGGUGGUGGUGGACGGCAAACAUUGUGGAAGCAGUCCUCUGAGUCGUGGGGACGCCGCCACAACAGACUGGGAUGACACUGCCGCCAGCACCUCCUCCUCUGCCCAGCCACCACCAGAGAGGCUUUACUCCAGAAGGCACUGGGGGUAUACAAGAACAUUGCUGCUGCUGCUGCUGCUGGAUACAUACAGUUAUUAACAAUACAAA